rnacentral:rRNA from 1 species
UACGGAGGGUGCAAGCGUUAUCCGGAUUUACUGGGUUUAAAGGGUGCGUAGGUGGGUAGGAAAGUCAGUGGUGAAAUCUUCGGGCUUAACCCGGAAACUGCCAUUGAUACUAUUUAUCUUGAAUACUUUGGAGGUAAGCGGAAUAUGUCAUGUAGCGGUGAAAUGCUUAGAUAUGACAUAGAACACCAAUUGCGAAGGCAGCCUACUACACAGUUAUUGACACUGAGGCACGAAAGCGUGGGGAUCAAACAGG